rnacentral:tRNA from 1 species
GCCUAUGCAGCUUGUCCAUCAAGCAGUGGUCUUGUAAACCACAGAAGACCCCUUUGUCCUAAGGCU